rnacentral:lncRNA from 1 species
GUUCGGUCGUGCAAGAUGGGUGCCUCGUUCAUUUAAUUAUACAUGUCUCGAGAUUAAAAGUGCUUAUCCUCCAUGUGCACAAUUUAAAGUGCUUGUUUUCCUUGCUUUGUAAAAAUAAAAGACUCGUUUUUGGAAGUUGAUAAAAAGAACUCAGAUUUAGUUUUGAAGCUUUUCCUUGUAGAUUUUGGGACUUCAAAAGUAUUUAUA